rnacentral:rRNA from 1 species
UACGGGGGGGCAAGCGUUGUUCGGAAUUACUGGCGUAAAGGGCGCGUAGGCGGCGUGUUAAGUCACUUGUGAAAUCUCUAAGCUUAACUUAGAACGGUCAAGUGAUACUGAUGUGCUAGAGUGCAGAAGGGGCAACCGGAAUUCUUGGUGUAGCGGUGAAAUGCGUAGAUAUCAAGAGGAACACCUGAGGUGAAGACGGGUUGCUGGGCUGACACUGACGCUGGAGGCGCGAAAGCUAGGGUAGCAAACGGG